rnacentral:rRNA from 1 species
AUUGAACGCCGGCGGCAGGCCUAACACAUGCAAGUCGAGCGGCUGAAGGUUGCUUGCUCCUGGAUUCAGCGGCGGACGGGUGAGUAAUGCCUAGGAAUCUGCCUGGUAGGGGUGGAUAACGUCCGGAAACGGGCGCUAAUACCGCAUACGCCCUGAGGGUGAAUGUGGGGGAUUUUCGGACUUCACGCUCUCAGAUGAUCCUAGGUCGCAUUAGCUAGUUGGUGGGGUAAACGCCUACCAAGCCGACGAUCCGUAACUGAUCUGAGAGGAUGAUCAGGCACAGUGGGGCUGAGACCCGGUCCGUGCUCCUGCGGGAGGCAGCAGUAGGGAAGAGUGGACGGAGAGCGAUAGCAGAAUACAGCCGAGCCGAGUCUGUGAAGAAGGGCUUCCGAUUGUAAGGCACUUCAGGUUCGGAGGACAGGCAGUAAGUUAAUACCUUGCUAUAUUGGCGUUACCAACAGAAUAAGCACCGGCAAACUUCGUG